rnacentral:piRNA from 1 species
UCACAGCUGAAAGACUAAUUGCCAUGUGC